ACAACUGUAUUUUUAGUUGCUGCUCCACAAAAUAGUAGAUGAACAGCUUGCAGCAUCAAACACUAAAAGUGGGCAAAGUGGGCAGU